rnacentral:rRNA from 1 species
UACAGAGGGUGCGAGCGUUAAUCGGAAUUACUGGGCGUAAAGCGCGCGUAGGCGGCUUUGCAAGUCGGGUGUGAAAUCCCCAGGCUUAACCCUGGAACUGCAUUCGAUACUGCCUGGCUAGGGUACUGGAGAGGAGACUGGAAUUUACGGUGUAGCAGUGAAAUGCGUAGAUAUCGUAAGGAAGACCAGUGGCGAAGGCGAGUCUCUGGACAGUUACCGACGCUGAGGCACGAAGGUCAGGGGAGCAAACGGG